rnacentral:rRNA from 1 species
CCUACGGGAGGCAGCAGUAGGGAAUAUUGCUCAAUGGGGGAAACCCUGAUGCAGCGACGCCGCGUGAGUGAAGAAGGAUUUCGGUAUGUAAAGCCCUAUUGGCAGGGAAGAAAAUGACGGUACCUGACGAAUAAGCACCGGCUAACUCCGUGCCAGCAGCCGCGGUAAUACGUAGGGGGCAAGCGUUAUCCGGAAUCACUGGGUGUAAAGGGCGCGUAGGCGGGGCAGCAAGUCCGAUGUGAAAUCUUGUGGCUCAACCCCAGAACUGCAGUUGAAACUGUUGAUCUAGAGUACAGGAGAGGUAAGCGGAAUUCCUGGUGUAGCGGUGAAAUGCGUAGAUAUCAGGAGGAACACCAAUUGCGAAGGCGGCUUACUAGACUGUAACUGACGUUGAUGCUCGAAAGCGUGGGGAGCAAACAGGAUUAGAUACCCCAGUAGUC